UACGUAGGGACCAAGCGUUGUUCGGAUUUACUGGGCGUAAAGGGCGCGUAGGCGGCGUGGUAAGUCACUUGUGAAAUCUCUGAGCUUAACUCAGAACGGCCAAGUGAUACUGCUGUGCUAGAGUGCAGAAGGGGCAAUCGGAAUUCUUGGUGUAGCGGUGAAAUGCGUAGAUAUCGAGGGGAACACCUGCGGCGAAGGCGGGUUGCUGGGCUGAUACUGACGCUGAGGCGCGAAAGCCAGGGGAGCGAACGGG
rnacentral:rRNA from 1 species